GUAGGGCGGGACACGUGGUAUCCUGUCUGAAUAUGGGGGGACCAUCCUCCAAGGCUAAAUACUCCUGACUGACCGAUAGUGAACCAGUACCGUGAGGGAAAGGCGAAAAGAACCCCGGCGAGGGGAGUGAAAAAGAACCUGAAACCGUGUACGUACAAGCAGUGGGAGCCCCACCACUAAGCCAGUGGUGAACUCCACAUACGCAUCCUUUGCUGAGGAUACGGUUAACGGAGCGAAAGCGACGUUCAACCGCAAAAGAAGCAGAGGGGGCUUAGUGGUGGGGUGACUGCGUACCUUUUGUAUAAUGGGUCAGCGACUUAUAUUCUGUAGCAAGGUUAACCGAAUAGGGGAGCCGGAGGGAAACCGAGUCUUAACCGGGCGUUAAGUUGCAGGGUAUAGACCCGAAACCCGGUGAUCUAGC
rnacentral:rRNA from 1 species